UACGGAGGGUGUUAGCGUUGUUCGGAAUUACUGGGCGUAAAGCGUACGUAGGUGGUUUUGUAAGUUGGGAGUGAAAUCCCGGGGCUCAACUCCGGAAUUGCUUUCAAUACUGCAGAACUAGAGUAUGGUAGGGGAUAGUGGAAUUCCUAGUGUAGGGGUGAAAUCCGUAGAUAUUAGGAGGAACACCAGAGGCGAAGGCGGCUAUCUGGGCCAUUACUGACACUGAGGUACGAAAGCGUGGGGAGCGAACAGG
rnacentral:rRNA from 1 species